GGAGAAUCCUGAAUUCGAAAGGGGUUGGAUUCAGAUCUUACCGUUCGCAUACUAGGCAGCCCCACUGCGGAUGGUGCCGGUCGCCCGCGGCGAUUAAUUUCGUUUGCGGUGUCGUUUCUGGCGUCCACUCGGUGGUGGCUUGCCAACUUCACGGAGGGUCGCACUUCUCCCCUAGUAGAAACGUCGCGACCCGUUGGGUGCCGGCCGAAGGCCUGGGAAGGAAGCCCGCGCAUCCUGUGGUGGUUGCCACAGGCGUGCGGACUCCCGGUGACCCGGCCGGCUGCCCGACGGUAUGACCAGAGGAGCCGAUCCGCUGAAUGGGAAACACUGUGGUUUGUGAAGCGUGCGGCCUGGCGCCGAUACGUGCGGGGAUUGAGGUGUAAACCGGGGGUGCCCGUGCGAAGCACGGUCCCGGCCCCGCUGCGUUGUCGGUUGCCGGUGUCCUCGCACUGGAUCGAUACUCCCGUCUGCGACGCCCAUCUUCGGAUGGUCUCCCG
rnacentral:rRNA from 1 species